rnacentral:lncRNA from 1 species
GUCAUUGAGAGAGAGAGAGAGCUUAUGAGAAGAGAGCAUUCUUAUUCUUUGUAGUGAGCUCUGUUAUCUCUGUAACAAAAAACUUGAAUCCAUCAGCCAAACUGAUCAAUCUAUUCCUCUCAUUUGUGCAGGUCAAUGUAAAUUAGCUGAACCAUGUAAUUGACAGUGUCUUGUGAUUUCUCGACAUUUUGUGUUUCUUUUGAUUGUUACUGCUUUAAUCAUUAUUCUGUUCACCUUUAGAUUCACAAUUAGCUUAUCGGAUCACCUUUAAAGCAUCUUCUUGUAUUUGAAUUGAAGAUCUUGGCCUGUAGUUUGUGAAGCUUGUGUUGAGUGCUUCUGAAUCACUACAUUAUUUAAUUCAAAUUGUACCUAUCAUUAAUCAUACAAUUUUUCUUAAUCUAAGUUAUUGAUAAAUGGAUUAAA